AUCCAGCUGACGAGUCCUAAAUAAGACGAAACGCACGUUAGAAUGGAU
rnacentral:hammerhead_ribozyme from 1 species